rnacentral:rRNA from 1 species
UGGGGAAUCUUGCGCAAUGGGGGAAACCCUGACGCAGCGACGCCGCGUGCGGGAUGAAGGCCUUCGGGUUGUAAACCGCUUUCAGCAGGGACGAGGCCUUAUGGUGACGGUACCUGCAGAAGAAGCUCCGGCUAAAUACGUGCCAGCAGCCGCGGUAAUACGUAUGUUGCGAGCGUUAUCCGGAAUUAUUGGGCUUAAAGGGCAUCUAGGCGGUAAGACAAGUUGAAGGUGAAAACCUGUGGCUCAACCAUAGGCUUGCCUACAAAACUGUUGAACUAGAGUACUGGAAAGGUGGGUGGAACUACACGAGUAGAGGUGAAAUUCGUAGAUAUGUGUAGGAAUGCCGAUGAUGAAGAUAACUCACUGGACAGAAACUGACGCUGAAGUGCGAAAGCUAGGGGAGCAAACAGG